AGACUCCUACGGGGCGCAGCAGUGAGGAAUAUUGGUCAAUGGUCGGGAGACUGAACCAGCCAAGCCGCGUGAGGGAUGAAGGUACAGAGUAUCGUAAACCUCUUUUGUCAGGGAACAAAGGCGGGGACGUGUCCCCGGAUGAGUGUACCUGAAGAAAAAGCAUCGGCUAACUCCGUGCCAGCAGCCGCGGUAAUACGGAGGAUGCGAGCGUUAUCCGGAUUUAUUGGGUUUAAAGGGUGCGCAGGCGGCCUGUUAAGUCAGCGGUAAAAGCCCGGGGCUCAACCCCGGCGAGCCGUUGAAACUGG
rnacentral:rRNA from 1 species